CUGGUGUGCAUGUAGCUGAUCCAGAGGACGGCAGUUCCAAUAAAAGUCACAUCAGGUGACACACAGAUGGCUGAGCCGGCAUGGAAGUCGGUGCUGUUCGUGUGUCUGGGUGACAUUGACCACCCAUUGCUGAGGCAGUUUUCAGAAAGCUUGUAACUGAUCAAACGUCUCAGGUUCCUAAGGAGGCCUGUCACAUCGAUGAUAUGCUGUGUAUGGAUGAGAGCAACCUGAGAGGCUGGACUAGAAAAAGUCAUCAAGUCAAUAACAGCAAAGCUACACUUGAACUUCUUGGGAGCUACGACCCCAGAAGCAGCUCAUUAUUGAAGACCCGCUAUGGGGAUGAGGGCGGGGAUGAGUGUGACGCUGAGGCCGUGCCCGGCAGUGUCUGAGGGGCUGCAGGGAGAAGGCCCGCCCGCCGGCCGCCCCAGCCCAGGGUCACCUCCGUCGCUCAAGGCCAGUGCUGGUACUUGCGUCCACCUGCUGUUUCUUACCUUAGAAAUAAUUGUGGAUGGAAAUCUGU